rnacentral:rRNA from 1 species
CUUACGGGAGGCAGCAGUGGGGAAUAUUGGACAAUGGGGGCAAGCCUGAUCCAGCCAUACCGCGUGGGUGAAGAAGGCCUUCGGGUUGUAAAGCCCUUUUGUUGGGAAAGAAAUCCAGCUGGCUAAUACCCGGUUGGGAUGACGGUACCCAAAGAAUAG